GAAGGUAUAACUCAGUGGUAGAGUGCAUGCUUAGCAUGUACAAGGUCCUGGGUUCAAUCCCCAGUGCUUCCA
rnacentral:tRNA from 1 species